AUUGAACGCUGGCGGUAGGCCUAACACAUGCAAGUCGAACGGCAGCACAGUGAUUGCUUCCGGAUACAGGGGCCGACGGGCGGACAAUGGAGAAGAACAUGGGAGGCUACGGGGGAUUACGGCCGGACGCAGGGACUCAUACGCCAAUACCGCAGACGGCGUACGGGGGGGAGCAUGGGAUCUUCGGACCUCACGCGAGCCAAUGUCGGAUUAGCUAGUUGGUGGGGUAAAGGCCUACCAAGGCGACGAUCCGUAACUGGUCUGAGAGGAUGAUCAGUCACACUGGAACUGAGACACGGUCCAGACUCCUACGGGAGGCAGCAGUGGGGAAUAUUGGACAAUGGGCGAAAGCCUGAUCCAGCCAUGCCGCGUGUGUGAAGAAGGUCUUCGGAUUGUAAAGCACUUUAAGUUGGGAGGAAGGGCAGUAAGUUAAUACCUUGCUGUUUUGACGUUACCAACAGAAUAAGCACCGGCUAACUUCGUG
rnacentral:rRNA from 1 species